rnacentral:rRNA from 1 species
GACGAACGCUGGCGGCGUGCCUAAUACAUGCAAGUAGAACGCUGAAGGAGGAGCUUGCUUCUCUGGAUGAGUUGCGAACGGGUGAGUAACGCGUAGGUAACCUGCCUGGUAGCGGGGGAUAACUAUUGGAAACGAUAGCUAAUACCGCAUAAUAUUGACUAUUGCAUGAUAGUCAGUUGAAAGGUGCAACUGCACCACUACCAGAUGGACCUGCGUUGUAUUAGCUAGUUGGUGGGGUAACGGCUCACCAAGGCGACGAUACAUAGCCGACCUGAGAGGGGGAUCCGCCACACUGGGACUGAGACAAGGCCCAGACUCCUACGGGAGGCAGCAGUAGGGGAUCUUCGGAAAUGGACGGAAGUCUGACCGAGGAACGCCGCGUGAGUGAAGAAGGGUUUCGGAUCGUAAAGCUCUGUUGUAAGGGAAGAACGAGUGUGAGAGUGGAAAGCUCACACUGUGACGGUAUCUUACCAGAAAGGGACGGCUAACUACGUG